rnacentral:rRNA from 1 species
UACGUAGGGUGCGAGCGUUAAUCGGAAUUACUGGGCGUAAAGCGUGCGCAGGCGGUUUUGUAAGACAGGCGUGAAAUCCCCGGGCUCAACCUGGGAACUGCGCUUGUGACUGCAAGGCUAGAGUACGGCAGAGGGGGGUGGAAUUCCACGUGUAGCAGUGAAAUGCGUAGAGAUGUGGAGGAACACCAAUGGCGAAGGCAGCCCCCUGGGUCGAUACUGACGCUCAUGCACGAAAGCGUGGGUAGCAAAC